rnacentral:rRNA from 1 species
GACGAACGCUGGCGGCGUGCUUAACACAUGCAAGUCGAACGGUGAAGCGCCUUCCUUUUUGGUGGGUGUGGAUGAGUGGCGAACGGGUGAGUAACACGUGAGUAACCUGCCCCCUUCUUCUGGAUAACCGCAUGAAAGUGUGGCUAAUACGGGAUAUUCUGGGUCUGUCGCAUGAUGGGUCUGGGAAAGAUAUUGUUUCGGUGGGGGAUGGGCUCGCGGCCUAUCAGCUUGUUGGUGGGGUGAUGGCCUACCAAGGCGGUGACGGGUAGCCGGCCUGAGAGGGUGGACGGUCACACGGGGACUGAGACACGGCCCAGACUCCUACGGGAGGCAGCAGUGGGGAAUAGUGCACAAUGGGCGAAAGCCUGAUGCAGCGACGCCGCGUGAGGGAUGGAGGCCUUCGGGUUGUGAACCUCUUUCGCCAGUGAAGCAGGCCUGCCUCGUUUGUGGGUGGGUUGACGGUAGCUGGAUAAGAAGCGCCGGCUAACUACGUG